rnacentral:rRNA from 1 species
ACAAGCAAAAGAAGGGCGUAUGGGGGAUGCCUGGGCUCUCAGAGGCAGACGAAGGACGCGAUAGCUGCGAAAUCCCGGGACUGCACAUGAGCAUGAUCCGUGGGUGUCCGAAUGGGGCACCCGGCCAGGUUGAGGCCUGUCACAACACCGCAAGGUGGGACCGAACCCGCUGAACUGAAACCUUAAGUAGGGCGGAGAAGAGAGAAACAAAAGUGAUUCUCGAGAUUAGUGGCGGCGAAUUCGGAUUAGUCCAACCAAUUGUUUGUUUUUCGGCAAUGUUGGGGUUGUAGGACCACGGGAUUCUUUGCGUGACGAACCGGAGCAGUUGGAAAGCUGACGAUAGGGGUGACAGUCCUCGUAGGGCAAUGACGUUAAAGAUUGUGGUAAUCGUGAGUAGCGCGGGGCCUAAACCUGUGUGGAAUCCGGCGGUACCACCGCAAGACUAAAUACUCCUGAGGGACCGAUAGUGUACCAGUACCGUGAGGAAAAGGUGAAAAGAACCCUGAACAAGGGAGUGAAAAAGACCCCUGAAACCAUACCCUACAAGCGGUCCGGAGCCCUUUGGGGGUGACGGCGUGGCCUUUUUGCAUAAUGAGCCUACGAAGUUACUUUUACCGGCAAGGAUUAAGAAGCACCUCAGUGCGCACUCGCAGCGAAAGCGAGUCUGAAUCAGGGGUCGCCAUAAGUCGGUAGUAGUAGACGCGAAACCGUGGCGUCUACCAGGGCAGGUUGAAGCUGUGGUAACACACAGUGGAGGACCGACCCGUUGACGUUGAAAAGUCUUGGAUGACCUGUGGGUAGGGGUGAAAGGCCAACAGCUCGGAAAUAGCUCGUACUCCCCGAAAUGCAUUUAGGUGCGCUCCUGAUAGUUAUAUAUAGGUAGAGCUACUGCUUGGAUGCGGGGCUUCACCGCCUACCAUCCUUAACAACCUCCGAAUGCUAUAUAAUGUUUCGGGCCAGUGAGGGCAUGGGUGCUAAGGUCCAUGUCCGAGAGGAAAGAACCGCGGAACCAUAGCUAAGGUCCCCAAAUAUGUUGCGAGUUGACAAAACGCGUGGACGCAUGGAAUCCAGGAUUUGGCUGGAAGCAGCCAUCCAUUUAAAGAGUGCGUAACAGCUACACUGGUCCGAGCGGUCCCGCAAUGGAUAAUGAUCGGGCAUAAGCACAUUACCGAAGCUAUGGACUCCAGGAGUGGUAGGGGAGCAUUCCGUUCUGCGAUGAAGCGGGCCUGCGAGGUCCCGUGGAGCGUACGGAAACGAAAAUGUAGGCAUACUUAACGAUAAUUGUCUGGCGAUAAACCGCACGACCGAAAGCCCAAGGUUUUCCCGGCCAUGCUAAUCAGCCGGGGGUCAGUCGGGACCUAACACGAACCCGGAAGGGGCAGUGGAUGGGCAGCGGUUAAUAUUCCGCUACCCGCAAUGCGACAAAAGUGACGGGGCGCCGAGGUUGGUGCGUGCUGACGGAAUAGCACGUUGAACCCUCGGGGAUAGUACACCAAGGCCACGGCCGCGGUGAUAAUCCAGCGAGGCUCUCCAAGAAAAGCGAGUCAUUGCGGCCCGUACCGUAAACCGACACCCGGUGGUCGGGAUGAGAAUUCUAAGGCGCUCGAGAGAUUCAUGGUCAGGAACUAGGCAAAAUGGACGCGUAACUUCGGGAGAAGCGUCGCUCCCCUCCGGGGAGCCGCAGUGAACUGGCCCAGGCGACUGGUUUAUCAAAAACACAGGCUCUGCCAAUCGAAGAUGACUUAUAUGGGCCUGACAAAACCUGCCGGUGCCCGGCAAGGUUAAAGGGAUAAUGUCCGCCGCCAGGUGAAGCAUUUAACUGAAGCCCCGGUAACGGCGGCCGUAACUAUAACGGUCCUAAGGUAGCGAAAUUCCUUGUCGGGUAAGUUCCGACCUGCACGAAUGGUGCACGAUCUGGGCACUGUCUCGACCAUGAUCUCGGUGAAAUUGUAGUAUCGGUGAAGAUGCCGGUUACCCGCAGUGGGACGAAAAGACCUCACCGUGCACCUUUACUAUAGCUUCGUAUUGACCCUGGGCAAGGGAUGUGUAGGAUAGCUUGGGAGGUUUGAAGCGCUGUCGCCAGGCAGUGUGGAUCCGUUGUUGAAAUACCAGCCUCGUUUGUCCGGGGCCUAACCCAGCGAUGGGGACAGUGCGUGGUGGGUAGUUUGACUGGGGUGGUCGCCUCCAAAGAGUAACGGAGGCUUCCAAAGGUGCCCUCACACGGUUGGCAAUCGUGUGCAGAGUGCAAUGGCACAAGGGCGCUUGACUGUGAGACAUACGGUCGAACAGGUACGAAAGUAGGGCAUAGUGAUCCGGUGGUUCCGCAUGGAAGGGCCAUCGCUCAAAGGAUAAAAGGUACGCCGGGGAUAACAGGAUGAUCUCCCCCAAGAGCUCAUAUCGACGGGGGGGUUUGGCACCUCGAUGUCGGCUCGUCACAUCCUGGGGCUGGAGAAGGUCCCAAGGGUGGGCUGUUCGCCCAUUAAAGUGGCACGCGAGCUGGUUCAGAACGUCGUGAGACAGUUCGGUCUCUAUCUACUGCGGGCGUGAAGAGAUUUGAGUGGAUCUGGUUCUAGUACGAGAGGACCGAACUGGACCGACCGCUGGUGCGCCGGUUGUCCCGCCAGGGGCAUCGCCGGGUAGCUAAGUCGGGAUGGGAUAAGCGCUGAGGCCCAUAACGCGAACCCGCACAAGAUGAGAUCUCUUUAAAGGGCCGUGGGAGAUGACCACGUCGCAUAGGCCGUAGGUGGAAGUGCAGCGAUGCAUGUAGCCGAGCGGUACUAAUUGCCCGUAAGCUUGCGCAC